AUGCAAGUCGAACGAUGACUAUCUAGCUUGCUAGAUAUGAUUAGUGGCGGACGGGUGAGUAACAUUUAGGAAUCUGCCUAGUAGUGGGGGAUAGCUCGGGGAAACUCGAAUUAAUACCGCAUACGACCUACGGGUGAAAGGGGGCGCAAGCUCUUGCUAUUAGAUGAGCCUAAAUCAGAUUAGCUAGUUGGUGGGGUAAAGGCCCACCAAGGCGACGAUCUGUAACUGGUCUGAGAGGAUGAUCAGUCACACCGGAACUGAGACACGGUCCGGACUCCUACGGGAGGCAGCAGUGGGGAAUAUUGGACAAUGGGGGCAACCCUGAUCCAGCCAUGCCGCGUGUGUGAAGAAGGCCUUUUGGUUGUAAAGCACUUUAAGCAGGGAGGAGAGGCUAAUGGUUAAUACCCAUUAGAUUAGACGUUACCUGCAGAAUAAGCACCGGCUAACUCUGUGCCAGCAGCCGCGGUAAUACAGAGGGUGCGAGCGUUAAUCGGAAUUACUGGGCGUAAAGCGAGUGUAGGUGGCUCAUUAAGUCACAUGUGAAAUCCCCGGGCUUAACCUGGGAACUGCAUGUGAUACUGGUGGUGCUAGAAUAUGUGAGAGGGAAGUAGAAUUCCAGGUGUAGCGGUGAAAUGCGUAGAGAUCUGGAGGAAUACCGAUGGCGAAGGCAGCUUCCUGGCAUAAUAUUGACACUGAGAUUCGAAAGCGUGGGUAGCAAACAGGAUUAGAUACCCUGGUAGUCCACGCCGUAAACGAUGUCUACUAGCCGUUGGGGUCCUUGAGACUUUAGUGGCGCAGUUAACGCGAUAAGUAGACCGCCUGGGGAGUACGGCCGCAAGGUUAAAACUCAAAUGAAUUGACGGGGGCCCGCACAAGCGGUGGAGCAUGUGGUUUAAUUCGAUGCAACGCGAAGAACCUUACCUGGUCUUGACAUAGUGAGAAUCCUGCAGAGAUGCGGGAGUGCCUUCGGGAAUUCACAUACAGGUGCUGCAUGGCUGUCGUCAGCUCGUGUCGUGAGAUGUUGGGUUAAGUCCCGCAACGAGCGCAACCCUUUUCCUUAUUUGCCAGCGGGUUAAGCCGGGAACUUUAAGGAUACUGCCAGUGACAAACUGGAGGAAGGCGGGGACGACGUCAAGUCAUCAUGGCCCUUACGACCAGGGCUACACACGUGCUACAAUGGUAGGUACAGAGGGUUGCUACACAGCGAUGUGAUGCUAAUCUCAAAAAGCCUAUCGUAGUCCGGAUUGGAGUCUGCAACUCGACUCCAUGAAGUCGGAAUCGCUAGUAAUCGCAGAUCAGAAUGCUGCGGUGAAUACGUUCCCGGGCCUUGUACACACCGCCCGUCACACCAUGGGAGUCUAUUGCACCAGAAGUAGGUAGCCUAACGCAAGAGGGCGCUAC
rnacentral:rRNA from 1 species